UNGGAAACUGGAUAACUUGAGUGCAGAAGAGGGUAGUGGAACNCCAUGUGUAGCGGUGGAAUGCGUAGAUAUAUGGAAGAACACCAGUGGCGAAGGCGGCUACCUGGUCUGCAACUGACGCUGAGACUCGAAAGCAUGGUAGCGAAUAGGAUUAGAUACCCUGGUAGUCCAUGCCGUAAACGAUGAGUGCUAGGUGUUAGAGGGUUUCCGCCCUUCAGUGCCGGAGCUAACGCAUUAAGCACUCCGCCUGGGGAGUACGACCGCAAGGUUGAAACUCAAAGGAAUUGACGGGGGCCCGCACAAGCGGUGGAGCAUGUGGUUUAAUUCGAAGCUACGCGAAGAACCUUACCAGGUCUUGACAUCUUGCGCCAACCCUAGAGAUAGGGCGUUUCCUUCGGGAACGCAAUGACAGGUGGUGCAUGGUCGUCGUCAGCUCGUGUCGUGAGAUGUNNNNNNANNNNNNNNCAACGAGCGCAACCCUUGUUACUAGUUGCCAGCAUUAAGUUGGGCACUCUAGUGAGACUGCCGGUGACAAACUGGAGGAAGGUGGGGACGACGUCAGAUCAUCAUGCCCCUUAUGACCUGGGCUACACACGUGCUACAAUGGACGGUACAACGAGUCGCGAACUCGCGAGGGCAAGCAAAUCUCUUAAAACCGUUCUCAGUUCGGACUGCAGGCUGCAACUCGCCUGCACGAAGUCGGAAUCGCUAGUAAUCGCGGAUCAGCAUGCCGCGGUGAAUACGUUCCCGGGC
rnacentral:rRNA from 1 species